GUGCCCACACAGUGGGGAUGAAAUCAGAGACACUGAAAACCCACAGGUAAUGCCAGGACUUAGAGACAGAAAGCUCUGAACAUCAGUACAAAGCCCUGCCGUGUAAGUGCGUAGCUUCUCACCAAGGGUGACCAGCCUCAGAUACAGGCUUUCAGUUCACUGAAGAAGUAAAGCAAGAAGCAAUCAGUACAUAGGACAAGCAGGCUGACUUUAUGAAAGUUUGCUGUAACUGGAGUUGGAAUACAGAGCACAGGAUUGUGAAGAAGAAUAUAUUGUUGUGCUAAAGCUGAUCUAGUAGAGUCGUGAGGACAUAUGGGAAGGAGGAUACAGAGGGAAGCCUUGAAGAGAAUGCCUACUUUGAGUAACACAUGCAAUCCUCAGAGCUAAGCUUGAAACUUAACUAUUUAACAAGUUUUAAAUGUGUGACCCGGGCAUGGCAGCACACAUCUGUAAUCCCAGCACUCUGAGGUUGAGACAGAAGGACCACUGAGUUCAA